GAUGAACGCUGGCGGCGUGCCUAAUACAUGCAAGUCGAGCGAACGGACGAGAAGCUUGCUUCUCUGAUGUUAGCGGCGGACGGGUGAGUAACACGUGGAUAACCUACCUAUAAGACUGGGAUAACUUCGGGAAACCGGAGCUAAUACCGGAUAAUAUUUUGAACCGCAUGGUUCAAAAGUGAAAGACGGUCUUGCUGUCACUUAUAGAUGGAUCCGCGCUGCAUUAGCUAGUUGGUAAGGUAACGGCUUACCAAGGCAACGAUGCAUAGCCGACCUGAGAGGAUGAUCAGCCACACUGGAACUGAGACACGGUCCAGACUCCUACGGGAGGCAGCAGUAGGGAAUAUUCCGCAAUGGGCGAAAGCCUGACGGAGCAACGCCGCGUGAGUGAUGAAGGUCUUCGGAUCGUAAAACUCUGUUAUUAGGGAAGAACAUAUGUGUAAGUAACUGUGCACAUCUUGACGGUACCUAAUCAGAAAGCCACGGCUAACUACGUG
rnacentral:rRNA from 1 species